AGGCCUCCUGAUACAGGCAGAAACGACCGGGUGGGGGAGUGCUAGCCCGGUCGGAGGGGCUAGGAAGCUCCAGGUCAUACUCCGGAGGAACUCCAUACUGAACCCUUAUCAGUAGGAGUUCAUCCGGAGUCAGGGAGCAGGGAAUGGCACCCGACGUAAAAAUCGGGCGAAGUCCAGCCCCAGUUGUGGGUUCAUCUACAGAGUGGAGGUCCUGGGGGGC
rnacentral:lncRNA from 1 species